AGCAAACAAUUGGUGGACAAGGGUUUUUAGACACAGGGAUAUUUUAGUAAUUUGAUAUUUACAUUUAUAUUUCUUUAAGCCCGUGCCUGCUGAUCAGUUUUCAUUUUUCAACGCCAAAAGAUCGAGAAGCAAAAAAUGGCUAGUUUAAUGGACCCAAUUUCGAUACUGAUGAGUGUAAUUCUAAGAAAGAGCAUAUAUGUGUAUCAGGAAUCCGCUCUCUUGUUUAUGCAAUUCUUUCCAGUUUUGGUGUCAACAAUCCGAUUUUCCCGUUUCAUUUUCAGUCGUAAUACCGCCGUUUCAGGCAGGUACUACCACUCUCCCAGGUCAUCCAUGGUGGCUCGACAUGAUCGGUAGUCCUACAAAAUUCACGGUGAAGUCAGAAUCUUCAUGAGGUGGAACAAGUGAUGUGUCAGCCACAGAGACUGCAUGAGAUGGAGCCUAUGUGGCUACUACCUUAACAAAAUGUUCAAAGCUUAAAUUACAUACCAUUAAUAUUCUGUUAUACUUUUGUCAAAUAAGAUUUUUUAUUCAUGUUAAAUGUGGGUUUUUUGUUA